CAUGAGGUUCUUUUAAGAACUAUUAUUGCUAAUAAACAAAUUUUUU
rfam:Gallus gallus isolate RJF #256 breed Red Jungle fowl, inbred line TCD001 chromosome 4, whole genome shotgun sequence.